rnacentral:rRNA from 1 species
GACGAACGCUGGCGGCGUGCUUAACACAUGCAAGUCGAACGGAAAGGCCCUGCUUUUGUGGGGUGCUCGAGUGGCGAACGGGUGAGUAACACGUGAGUAACCUGCCCUUGACUUUGGGAUAACUUCAGGAAACUGGGGCUAAUACCGGAUAGGAGCUCCUGCUGCAUGGUGGGGGUUGGAAAGUUUCGGCGGUUGGGGAUGGACUCGCGGCUUAUCAGCUUGUUGGUGGGGUAGUGGCUUACCAAGGCUUUGACGGGUAGCCGGCCUGAGAGGGUGAACGGCGACAAUGGGCCUAAGGGACGGCGCAGUGGGCAACAGGAGGCAACAGGCGGGAAUAUUGCCCAAUGGGCGGGAGCCUGAUACAGAAGCGCCGCGUGCGGGAUGACGGCCUUCGGGGUGUGAACCGCUUUCGGCUAUGACGAAGCGUGAGUGACGGUAAUGGGUGAAGAAGCACCGGCUAACUACGUG